rnacentral:rRNA from 1 species
CAGUAGCCGCGGGAAUACGUAGGGUGCGAGCGUUAAUCGGAAUUACUGGGCGUAAAGCGUGCGCAGGCGGUUGUGUAAGACAGGUGUGAAAUCCCCGGGCUUAACCUGGGAACUGCGCUUGUGACUGCACAGCUAGAGUAUGGCAGAGGGGAGUGGAAUUCCAUGUGUAGCAGUGAAAUGCGUAGAGAUGCGGAGGAACACCGAUGGCGAAGGCAGCCCCCUGGGCCAAUACUGACGCUCAUGCGCGAAAGCGUGGGGAGCAAACAGGAUUAGAUACCCCAGUAGUCCCUGUCUCUUAUAA